UACGGAGGGAGCUAGCGUUGUUCGGAAUUACUGGGCGUAAAGCGCACGUAGGCGGCUUUGUAAGUUAGAGGUGAAAGCCCGGGGCUCAACUCCGGAACUGCCUUUAAGACUGCAUCGCUUGAAUCCGGGAGAGGUGAGUGGAAUUCCGAGUGUAGAGGUGAAAUUCGUAGAUAUUCGGAAGAACACCAGUGGCGAAGGCGGCUCACUGGACCGGUAUUGACGCUGAGGUGCGAAAGCCAGGGGAGCAAA
rnacentral:rRNA from 1 species